rnacentral:misc_RNA from 1 species
UAUGAAGAACGUAGCGAAAUGCGAUAAGUAAUGUGAAUUGCAGAAUUCAGUGAAUCAUCGAAUCUUUGAACGCACCUUGCGCUCCUUGGUAUUCCGAGGAGCAUGCCUGUUUGAGUGUCAUUAAUAUAUCAACCUUCUCUUUUUUGAGUUGUUUGGAUGUGGGGGUUUGCUGUCCUCUUAAAUGAUUCAGCUCCCCUGAAAUGCAUUAGCAGAACAACCUGUUCAUUAGCGUGAUAAUUAUCUAUGCUAUUGAAUGUGAGGGCAGUUCAGCUUUCUAACCGUCCUUGGACAAUUCAUCAUUAAUGUGACCUCAAAUCAGGUAGGACUUCCCGCUGAACUUAAGCAUAUCAAUAAGCGGAGGA